rnacentral:rRNA from 1 species
GGGACGACGUCAAGUCAGCAUGAUGCUUAUAUCCAGGGCUACACACAUCCUACAAUGGGCUAUAACAGAGGGUUGCAAGACCGCAAGGUGGAGCUAAUCCCUAAACUAGCCCUCAGUUGGGAUUGCAGGCUGAAACUCGCCUGCAUGAACCCGGAAUUGGUAGUAAUCGCACAUCAGCAGCGUGCGGUGAAUACGUUCUCGCCUCUUGCACACACUGCCCGUCAAAUCAGCAAAGUUGGGGGUACCCAAAACUCUACUUUAUGUGGGGCUAAGGUAAAUCCAGCGAUGAGGGUUAAGUCGUAACAAGGUAUCCGUACUGGAAGGUGCGGAUGGAUCACCUCCUUU